rnacentral:rRNA from 1 species
UCGCCUGUUUAUCAAAAACAUCUCUAAUCAAUUUAGUAUAACCUGCUCAGUGAAAAAUUUUUAACAGCCAGCAUAUGCUAAGGUAGCAUAAUAAUUUGCUUUAUAAUUAAAAGAUGGAAUGAAAGGUUUUUCUAAAAAUAAUUUAUUUUAAUUUUUUAUUAAAUUUUUCUGUGGAUGAAAAAAUCAACAUUAAUUUUUUAGACGAUAAGACCCUAUGAAGCUUUACUACCAGUUAGUUUUUUUGGGGCAAAAAAUAAUACUUAUAUUUUUUUUAAGAAUAAUUUUGAUCUUUUUGAAUUUUAAGAAAAAGCUACUCUAGGGAUAACAGCAUAAUUUUUAUAAAAGUUCUUAUUAUAAUAAAAGUUUGUGACCUCGAUGUUGA